UGGGGAAUUUUGGGCAAUGGGCGAAAGCCUGACCCAGCAACGCCGCGUGAAGGAUGAAGUAUUUCGGUAUGUAAACUUCGAAAGAAUAGGAAGAAUAAAUGACGGUACUAUUUAUAAGGUCCGGCUAACUACGUGCCAGCAGCCGCGGUAAUACGUAGGGACCAAGCGUUGUUCGGAUUUACUGGGCGUAAAGGGCGCGUAGGCGGCAUGACAAGUCACUUGUGAAAUCUCCGAGCUUAACUCGGAACGGUCAAGUGAUACUGCUGUGCUAGAGUACAGAAGGGGCAAUCGGAAUUCUUGGUGUAGCGGUGAAAUGCGUAGAUAUCAAGAGGAACACCUGAGGUGAAGACGGGUUGCUGGGCUGAUACUGACGCUGAGGCGCGAAAGCUAGGGUAGCAAACGGGAUUAGAUACCCUAGUAGUCCCUGAGCGGGCUGGCAAGGCGCAU
rnacentral:rRNA from 1 species